rnacentral:rRNA from 1 species
GUGGAUUAGAUACCCGGGUAGUCCACGCCGUAAACGAUGGAUACUAGCUGUUGGAGGUAUCGACCCCUUCAGUAGCGAAGCUAACGCGUUAAGUAUCCCGCCUGUGGAGUACGGUCGCAAGACUAAAACAUAAAGGAAUUGACGGGGACCCGCACAAGCGGUGGAUCGUGUUCUUUAAUUCGAUGCUAAACGAAGAACCUUACCAGGGUUUGACAUCCUUGGAAUCUCUGCGAAAGUAGAGAGUGCUUUAUUGAACCAAGUGACAGGUGAUGCAUGGCCGUCGUCAGCU